rnacentral:rRNA from 1 species
AUGCAGGUUAUAGCGGGAAGAGGAGUAGGGGGAGCGGCCACGGGCGACUCACCGGCGAGGACGUCGUCGUCGUACCUGACGGCGGCGCGUCAGAUCGCGGUGACCGUGGUGCUGUACGACGUGUACCGCUACGCGUGGCACCGCCUGGCGCACCGCAGCCGGUUCCUGUACCGGCACCUCCACUCGUGGCACCACCGCCUGGUCGUGCCCUACGCGUUCGGCGCCAAAUACGGGCACCCGGUGGAGGCCCUCAUCGCCGACACGGCCGGCGCGUCGCUCGCCAUCUUCGCCUCCGGCAUGUCGUCGUCGCCGCGCGCCACGGCCGUCUUCCUCUCGCUGUGCAACAUCAAGGGCAUCGACAACCACUGCGGGCUGUGCCUCCUGCCGCGCGCCCUGCAGUCGCUCUGGAACGGCGCCGCGUACCACGGCGUGCACCACCUGCCGCGCGGCGUCAGGUACAACUUCUCCGACCUCUUCUUCGUCACGUGGGACAAGGCGUUCGGGACGUACCUGCACUACACCGUCGAGGAGAGGCCCGGCGGCGGGGGGCUGGUGAUCCAGCCGGUGCGGCCCAAGGCGUCCAAGGCCUCCGCCGCUGUCACGCCAGUGAACUGA